AUUGAACGCUGGCGGCAUGCUUUACACAUGCAAGUCGGACGAGUGGCGAACGGGUGAGUAACGCCUCGGAACGUACCGAGUAAAGGGGGAUAACUGUUCGAAAGGGAAGCUAAUACCGCAUAGUAUGGGGAGGGCCCAUGUCGGAUUAGCUGGUUGGUGGGGUAAAGGCCCACCAAGGAGACGAUCAGUAGCGGGUCUGAGAGGAUGAUCAGCCACACUGGGACUGGUACACGGCCCAGACUCCUACGGUAGGCAGCAGUGGGGAAUUUUGGACAAUGGGCGCAAGCCUGAUCCAGCCAUGCCGCGUGUCUGAAGAAGGCCUUCGGGUUGUAAAGGACUUUUGUCAGGGAAGCGGUACCUGAAGAAUAAGCACCGGCUAACUACGUGCCAGCCGCCGCGGUAAUAC
rnacentral:rRNA from 1 species